rnacentral:rRNA from 1 species
UACAGAGGUCCCAAGCGUUGUUCGGAUUCACUGGGCGUAAAGGGUGCGUAGGUGGCCAGGUAAGUUCGGUGUGAAAGCUCGGAGCUUAACUCCGAAAUGGCAUUGAAUACUAUCUGGCUAGAGGGUCGGAGGGGAGACUGGAAUUCUCGGUGUAGCAGUGAAAUGCGUAGAUAUCGAGAGGAACACCAGUGGCGAAGGCGAGUCUCUGGACGACUCCUGACACUGAGACACGAAAGCCAGGGGAGCAAACAGG